rnacentral:rRNA from 1 species
AAUUAAAACUGCCACCCUGAAGAAGCCUGAUCCAAUCUGAUCUUAGAAGCUAAGCAGGGUCAGGCCUGGUUAGUACUUGGAUGGGAGACUACCUAGGAAGACCAGGUGCUAUAGGCA